UGGCUCCCCUUUUGCAGUGUGGGGAGAGGCAGAUUGCGAACUCAGCUCUAGCUGGUCAGCAACCCUGGUAGGAAACGAAGCCCUGAACUCAGCUCGCUUAAUGGAAUCCAAACCGUUUUAAAAACAGAAGAAUUUUAAAGUGAGCCUUAAUGAGCACCAUCUUUCCUAGCGGCUGCCCAGGAAGCUAGGAGGCACCCACCUUCCCCGGUGAAUCGCAGACUAUUUCUUGUCGUGGGUCUUCAGCCCUUCAGAGGUCUCGGAAUGGAGCAGUGGGAGGUUAUAUUCCAAAUACGGACAGCUCUCACUCUGGGGGCAUGGCCAGGGGUGUGACAGGGAGCUGUACUGGGCCUCAGGCCAAGCUGGGCAUGCUGCUGCUGGAACCCAGGGUGCCAGGCACAGAGAGUUUUGCUGAAUUGAGAUGAAAACCGAAUGCAAGCCUUUUAACCAC